rnacentral:rRNA from 1 species
UACGUAGGGUGCAAGCGUUAAUCGGAAUUACUGGGCGUAAAGGGUGUGUAGGCGGUUUUCUAAGUUUGGUGUGAAAUCUCCCGGCUUAACCGGGAGGGUGCGCCGAAAACUGGGAGACUAGAGUGCGGGAUGGGAGAGUAGAAUUCCUGGUGUAGCGGUGAAAUGCGUAGAUAUCAGGAGGAAUACCGGUGGUGCAGACGGCUCUCUGGACCGCAACUGACGCUGAGACACGAAAGCGUGGGUAGCAAACAGG